GUGACCUCUCGGUGUUUGUGGUGUUGGUGCCUUUUGGAAGAUGGAAGAUCAUGGAAAUAUCGGACAAAUGAUAUGGCUUGCUGUGCGGUUAAUUGACUAACAGAACGUGAGGAUGUCUGUGCUCCGGUUUUUUUAAGGGGGUUCUUCAUGAUUCCAGUGGACUAGACCUUCAUGGAUGGCAGUUUUCCCAAUUUUGGCAACGUCCUUGUACUCAUGUUUGCAACAUACUACUGCCUCAGCAUCAGUUAUCCACCAAAACUGGGUCCAACUCUGGAAAUCUUACAGAGGAGCCGGUGUCUGUCUCAUAUUGUGUAUGGAAGAAGAUGACAUGAAGCCUCAGCUCACAGAGUGAAGCUACUGCGCUCCCCCCGUCUGUGUGCACAUAAUUAAGGUUACUGAACACACUAAAGUUAACAUGCACACACUCAUGUAUCUUAAACACAGUGGAAAUGCAAAUGCAAAUAAAAUCCAUGAAAUCCUUCCCGCACAUAAUUGCAACCCUACGGCAGGCUGGUGAUUGUAGCUGUAGCUGUAGCUGUAGCUAUAGCUGUAGCUCAGGUGGUGGAGUGUGUAGAACAAGUAGAGCUGGAAAAAACAUAAAGCCACUUUGGACAAAGGCAUCUGCUGAAUGCAAUGUAUUAUUUUCUUAGUGACUUUCAUCACCCUAUUUAAAGCACUGUCUAUUUGAAAAGGUCAUUUCAGUUCAUACUCAGUCUAAACAUCUUAUUUGUCUUAACCAUCAACUUUAACUUUAUAGUCGCUACAGGGACAUUUGUCUGUCAGCGGGUGAAACAGAACACAAGAUACAUAAAACAUGUGAUAUAAAUAUUUACAGUGAAACAAAUGUUACAUCUAUCACACAAGCUCACAGGAAACAGUUUGGAUCAAGUGGCAGUAUAACAUCAAGCCUGAAGUACAUGAAGCACUUUUCUUACUAGGUUUUAGGUCAAAGUCACAGACAGUCAGAGCUGACUCAUCAAGAGAAUUCAACAGUUACUAUUAGACCUGGUCUGUGCUACUCUAAAUUACCAUCCAGACGGGAAAAGCUCAAACUCUGCAGUUGGUCUCUUGGAGAAAAUGUGAGAUGCCUUUUACCAACAAUGAUUUUACUGGCCGUUUUACUAGUGGAGCUGUCAUCGUCCUACUUGUUUCCAGCUAAGAGUCACUUGUUUAAAAAAUUUCCCAGAACACAAACAUGACUCAGACCAUCCUUAGCAAAAAACAUUUUGUCUUACAUUAAAAUGAAAUGAAUAAUUCCAGCGGUUUAGACUAAGUACUGAUAUUGUAAAAUGAAUAUAUGACGACUACACAUCUUGAGAGAGAUAGCUGGUUAUUUAAAAACAUAUCAACAAUUAAACUCUGUGUUUUUAACCAACCCAUAAUGGAAAGUUGUUUUUUCUGAGGCUGUAAAUAACAAUGGCUUUCAUUAUCAAUUAAUCAGACAUAUAUUUUCUUGAUUAAUUGAUAAAUCAUUUUGUCUAGACAAUGAGGAAUUAGUGGAGUGUUCUGGUGGUGGAAUGGUUACAGUGCCUGCUGUGAAAAUUGUUAUA